UUGAAUGCUUUGGUUUAGCUUCGUAUAAUAUUCCUCUUACAAGAAUUUUGUCCCAAAAGACCGAUUAAGAUGAAGAUUGUUUCUAGUACGUCUUCUUUCUAUGUAACUAUAGUCAUUGUUCUCAUGAUGGCGUGUCUUAUAAAUGGAAGGAACGCAAGGAAACCGAGCGGAGAGAUUAUUGAAAGUCUCGAUGAAGCUGAUCAAGAUGUUCAACGAAGACAAAGAAAAAUAUGUUUAAAACCACGGAACUGCAAGAGAAACGACAGAGGUGAUUGGAUAACUGUUGGCGCGGAAAAUAGGCUUCAGGAAAGACUUUGGCAAUAGAUGUUUUAAAAGACAUUGACAAGGAAAACGCAAAGGUCCAUAUGCCAAACCUUCAACAAAUCCUAGACUAGUACUCUGGGGCAGCUUACUUUAAAUGCAUCAAGUAAAACAGCAAGAAAUGUACGUGUAACACACAGCCUGAAUGUACAUGUUAACGAAGUGCUGUAGAUUAAGCUCGAUAAUUGAAUAUAAUCAUCAGCUGAAUGUGUUAAAAUCGUAAAAUUGAAUUGAAUUAAAAAAUAAACUAAACAUG